UGCAAGUGAUGUCUUUCUCACGAUGGUCUUCCAAGCUCGAUGCUCUGACGACACUGCCUUUGGCAGACUCUGAUGCAGCUUC
ensembl:snoRNA